rnacentral:tRNA from 1 species
GUGGGUAUAGCUCAGUGGUAGAGUAUUCGACUGCAGAUCGAGAGGUCACCGGUUCAAACCCGGACGCCCCCU